rnacentral:rRNA from 1 species
CGGAGGGUGCAAGCGUUAUCCGGAUUCACUGGGUUUAAAGGGUGCGUAGGCGGGCAGGUAAGUCAGUGGUGAAAUCUCCGGGCUUAACCCGGAAACUGCCGUUGAUACUAUCUGUCUUGAAUAUCGUGGAGGUAAGCGGAAUAUGUCAUGUAGCGGUGAAAUGCUUAGAUAUGACAUAGAACACCCAUUGCGAAGGCAGCUUACUACACGAUCAUUGACGCUGAGGCACGAAAGCGUGGGGAGCAAACAGGAUUAGAUACCCUGGUAGUCCACGCCCUAAACGAUGGAUACUCGACAUCAGCGAUACACUGUUGGUGUCUGAGCGAAAGCAUUAAGUAUCCCACCUGGGAAGUACGACCGCAAGGUUG